rnacentral:rRNA from 1 species
GUGGGGAAUAUUUGGCAAUGGGCGAAAGCCUGACCCAGCAACGCCGCGUGAAGGAAGAAGGUCUUCGGAUCGUAAACUUCUAUCCUUGGUGAAGAUAAUGACGGUAGCCGAGAAGGAAGCCCCGGCUAACUACGUGCCAGCAGCCGCGGUAAUACGUAGGGGGCAAGCGUUGUCCGGAAUGAGUGGGCGUAAAGGGCGCGUAGGCGGCCUGGUAAGUCUGGAGUGAAAGUCCUGCUUUUAAGGUGGGAAUUGCUUUGGAUACUGUCGGGCUUGAGUGCAGGAGAGGUAAGUGGAAUUCCCGGUGUAGCGGUGAAAUGCGUAGAGAUCGGGAGGAACACCAGUGGCGAAGGCGACUUACUGGACUGUAACUGACGCUGAGGCGCGAAAGUGUGGGGAGCAAACAGGAUUAGAAACCCUGGUAGUCC